UGAGACUGGUGAGUAUGGAGCGGAUUU
rnacentral:piRNA from 1 species